UACGUAGGGGGCAAGCGUUGUCCGGAUUUAUUGGGCGUAAAGAGCGUGUAGGCGGCUAUACAGGUCCGCUGUGAAAACUCGAGGCUCAACCUCGAGACGUCGGUGGAAACCGUAUGGCUAGAGUCCGGAAGAGGAGAGUGAAAUUCCUGGUGUAGCGGUGAAAUGCGCAGAUAUCAGGAAGAACACCCGUGGCGAAGGCGGCUCUCUGGGACGGUACUGACGCUGAGGAGCGAAAGCCAGGGGAGCAAACGGG
rnacentral:rRNA from 1 species